UUUAAACUAUUCUUCCUGGAUAUAACUCAGCAUCUCUAUGGGUGAUGUUUCUCGAUCACAUUAACCUAGUAACGAUAAUCAUCAUGGAUCUCUAGUUAAAAACAAGCUCUUGCAGAAAAAGCUAGAAAAGCGUAAAGGUAAAGAAGGAAUAAUUCUAGUAAACUAGUUUUUUGUGAACAGAGUCUGAGUAUUGCAUAUAACUUCAUUAGAACAAUCCAAAAACGAUAAGUAGACUGACAAAUCAAGUACUGGUCUUCGGAAGGGGGCAGUCCUGUCUGCGUAUCCAUUUCUCCA
rnacentral:lncRNA from 1 species